CCCCGCCGCUGCCGCCGCUGCUGCCGCCGGGCGGGGCCUGCGCCGCCGCUCCCCCCGUCCCCGCCCCUCCAUGGCGGAGCGCGGCGCGGGGCCUGGCAGAGGCACGGGGCGGCACGCGGCAGCACUGCGCCUGAGGAGACGGGUCGGCGAGGCGCGGCCCAGGGCUGCGGGCAGGACUCGCGCUGGCAGGACCGGAGCGCCUCAGCGCGCGUUUAAGUACCUCAGCGCAGGGGUAUUUAAACGGCAGCAAACGGAGAAAGGAGGGAGAAGCAAGGCGGAGGUCAGGGCUGCAAAACCAGGUCUCCAAACUACGAGUAAUCGCUGUACAAAUGCUUUACAACUGGAGACAAGCUUUCCACAGAGCUCGAUGGCAUCCAUACUCUUCCCAUGUCUGAUGCACAAGUCAGUCUGGAACUCUUCCAGUUUCUUUUUUCUGCCAGGUUGUCUAAAUAGCAGAACAGCAAUGUGCUCAAUGAAGAGGAUACAACACAUGCAUCCUUCAUGA
rnacentral:lncRNA from 1 species